rnacentral:snRNA from 1 species
CAGCACUGCAGCUCUUGUAGAAUUUGUCUAGCAGGUUUUCUGGUCCUCCCUGGAAGGUCUCC